GACGAACCGUGCGAACGUUGUUCGGAUUCACUGGGCUUAAAGGGCGCGUAGGCGGGCGACCAAGUCAGGGGUGAAAUCUUUCGGCCCAACCGGAAAAGUGCCCCUGAUACUGGCCGCCUCGAGGGGGGUAGGGGCAUGCGGAACUUCCGGUGGAGCGGUGAAAUGCGUAGAUAUCGGAAGGAACGCCGGUGGCGAAAGCGGCGUGCUGGACCCCUUCUGACGCUGAGACGCGAAAGCGUGGGGAGCGAACAGG
rnacentral:rRNA from 1 species